rnacentral:ncRNA from 2 species
UUCUUAUCAAGAGCGGCGGAGGGACUGGCCCAAUGAAGCCCGACAACCAGCACAUGGUGCAAUGGUGUCAAUUCCUGCAGAUUCAAUUCUGGCAGAUAAGAA